rnacentral:rRNA from 1 species
GAACGCUGGCGGCGUGCCUAAUACAUGCAAGUCGAGCGAACAGAUGAGGAGCUUGCUCCUCUGACGUUAGCGGCGGACGGGUGAGUAACACGUGGAUAACCUACCUAUAAGACUGGGAUAACUUCGGGAAACCGGAGCUAAUACCGGAUAAUAUAUUGAACCGCAUGGUUCAAUAGUGAAAGACGGUUUUGCUGUCACUUAUAGAUGGAUCCGCGCCGCAUUAGCUAGUUGGUAAGGUAACGGCUUACCAAGGCAACGAUGCGUAGCCGACCUGAGAGGGUGAUCGGCCACACUGGAACUGAGACACGGUCCAGACUCCUACGGGAGGCAGCAGUAGGGAAUCUUCCGCAAUGGGCGAAAGCUUGACGGAGCAACGCCGCGUGAGUGAUGAAGGUCUUCGGAUCGUAAAACUCUGUUAUUAGGGAAGAACAAAUGUGUAAGUAACUAUGCACGUCUUGACGGUACCUAAUCAGAAAGCCACGGCUAACUACGUG